rnacentral:rRNA from 1 species
AAUUUUGGACACUGGGGGAAACCCUGAUCCAGCCAUCCCGCGUGUGCGCUGAAGGCCUUCGGGUUGUAAAGCACUUUUGUCAGGUAAGAAAAGGUUCUGGCUAAUACCUGGAACUGAUGACGGUACCUGAAGAAUAAGCAUCGGCUAACUACGAUCUCGCAUCCGCGGUAAUACGGAGGGUGGAAGCGUUAAUCGGAAUUUCGUGGCGUAAAGCGUGCGCAGGCGGUUCGGAAAGAAGGAUGUGAAAUCCCAGGGCUCAACCUUGGAACUGCAUUCGUAACUACCGAACUAGAGUAUGUCAGAGGGGGGUAGAAUUCCGCGUGUAGCAGUGAAAUGCGUAGAUAUGCGGAGGAAUACCGAUGGCGAAGGCAGCCCUCUGGGAUAAUACUGACGCUCAUGCACGAAAGCGUGGGUAGCAAACAGG